rnacentral:rRNA from 1 species
GACGUAGGGCGCGAGCGUUGUCCGGAUUUAUUGGGCGUAAAGAGCUCGUAGGCGGCUUGUUGCGUCGGCUGUGAAAACCCGUGGCUUAACUGCGGGCUUGCAGCUGAUACGGGCGGGCUAGAGUUCGGUAGGGGAGACUGGAAUUCCCGGUGUAGCGGUGAAAUGCGCAGAUAUCAGGAGGAACACCGGUGGCGAAGGCGGGUCUCUGGGCCGAUACUGACGCUGAGGAGCGAAAGCGUGGGGAGCGAACAGG